AGGGCACCACCAGGAGUGGAGCCUGCGGCUUAAUUUGACUCAACACGGGGAAACUCACCCGGCCCGGACACUGGAAGGAUUGACAGAUUGAGAGCUCUUUCUUGAUUCAGUGGGUGGUGGUGCAUGGCCGUUCUUAGUUGGUGGAGCGAUUUGUCUGGUUAAUUCCGAUAACGAACGAGACUCUAGCCUACUAAAUAGAUCGCCGGUUUACAAACAUCGGUGAGACUUCUUAGAGGGACAGGCGGCGAUUCAGCCGCACGAAACAGAGCAAUAACAGGUCUGUGACGCCCUUAGAUGUUCGGGGCCGCACGCGCGCUACACUGAAGUGAUCAGCGUGCUUUUUAAGCCUACUCUGCCAAGAGUGGGAAACCCAAUGAACCUUCUUCGUGAUUGGGAUAGGAGAUUGUAAUUAUUCUCCUUGAACGAGGAAUUCCCAGUAAGCGCGAGUCAUUAGCUCGCGUUGAUUACGUCCCUGCCCUUUGUACACACCGCCCGUCGCUACUACCGAUUGAAUGUUUU
rnacentral:rRNA from 1 species